rnacentral:rRNA from 1 species
AACGAACGCUGGCGGCAUGCCUAACACAUGCCAGUCGAACGAGACCUUCGGGUCUAGUGGCGCACGGGUGCGUAACGCGUGGGAACCUGCCCUUAGGUUCGGAAUAACUCCCCGAAAGGGGUGCUAAUACCGGAUAAUGUCUUCGGACCAAAGAUUUAUCGCCUUUGGAUGGGCCCGCGUUGGAUUAGCUAGUUGGUAGGGUAAAAGCCUACCAAGGCGACGAUCCAUAGCUGGUCUGAGAGGAUGAUCAGCCACACUGGGACUGAGACACGGCCCAGACUCCUACGGGAGGCAGCAGUGGGGAAUAUUGGACAAUGGGCGAAAGCCUGAUACAGCAAUGCCGCGUGAGUGAUGAAGGCCUUAGGGUUGUAAAGCUCUUUUACCCGGGAUGAUAAUGACAGUACCGGGAGAAUAAGCACCGGCUAACUCCGUG